CUCCUUUCUAUCUCGUACUGCUGUCUCCUAUCUCUAGCACUGCCGCCGCUCCCCCCAAAUCCCCCAUGGAGAAGGACGAACCCUAGAUUAUUUUGGCGUGGAAUCAACAUGGAGCACCAACGGAGCACUGUAGGCUGGCGAAUCCACCCUCCUCCGCCUCCACAUCUCCCCCCUCCAUCCACACAAGGGCUUGAUGACCAGAAAUUUGGGGGAGGUCAAGAAAUCUCCCUAUGAGGUAUGUCUAAGAAUUCUAGUAGAGCCAAGUGGAAUCAUCAGAUGAAGGCAUAUCUCAUUGAACAGUUAAGAGAUCAUGAUGUUCCCAAAUACCGCACACAAAAUGCAUGGAGUAAAGAGGCCUGGACAAAUAUUGUUGCUAAAUUCAAUCAAAGAUUUGAUGUAUCAUUCACGGUAGUUCAAGUGAAGCAAAAGGAGCAGGAUCUAAACAGAGAUUUCAAAGCUAUAAAAGACUUAAUAUCUGAAAGUGGUUUUGGCUGGGAUCGUGACAGAAAGAUGGUGGUGGCGCCCGAUAAUGUUUGGGCUGCACUAGAGGCACGUAAAAACAAGGAUGCACUCUUCUGGCGAGGAAAGUCAUUUCCAUAUUAUGAAGAUAUUUUUGCUCUAUAUGAUGGACGCUAUGCUCAGGGAAGGAGUUGCCAUGGCAUGGGUUAUUAUGCGAACAAAGCAACUCAGCUCUCACAGUUACCAACAUCACAUUCACCACAACAACAAGGGCUAUAGGCGCAUCUGCACACACCUACACCAACCACACAUGCUCCUGGUGAUUCAUCCAUGCAAUUUGACAUUGAAGAGGAUAGUGAAAACACAAACUGGUUUUCUAGCAAUAAUACAUUCAGUCAAGUGGAGGCAAACCCGACUCAAGGAAAUGACUUGACAUUACAUGCUCCAUCCCAAGUUGAAACAGUACCAAUUUCCUCACAGCGCGUUGGACAGACUUUGCAUGAAAUUCCACAAGUUGUACAUAGCAAUCCUCGACCAGCUAGCUCAGCUCCUGAGGUUACUAGCACCAAGAGAGCGAGAAAGCAAAAGACGACCAGUAUUGGCGAUUUUCAUGAGAGAUACCUGAAACUGAGAAGGGAAGAAAUAGAUAGGUAUGCAGCCAUUGAGGAGAGGAAAUUAAGGGACCCGUUCAGCAUCAAGAAAUGCAUCAAAGCACUAGAAAGGUUGGAGGGUCUUUCGAUGGCAGAUAUGCUAAAAGCAGCGGACAUCUUUACUACCAACAAGGAGAACAGGGAGGUAUUUCUAUCAUUUUCAAGUAACGAAUUAUGGUUGGGUUGGUUGACUGAAAAAAUUCGGAAUAACUAAUCAGAUGGAACUAAUAUUUCAUACUAGGUGAGUGCUACCUUUAAAACAAUGAUAUAUUUUGUUCAUGUGCAUUUAUAGGCACAUGAUUAUGAUCCUUGGCGUAGUUAACUUGUAAUAGGAUGUGAUAUAUUUUGUUCAUGUGCAUUUCUGGACACAUGGUUAUGAUCCUUGUCAUAGUUAACUUGUAGUAGGUUGUGCAUGUGCAUUACUGGGCACAUGAUUGUUAAACUUAUUCGACUAUUAGUGCAAUGUUAAAUGGCUCUUAAAGCAAUGUCUUUCUGCAGUGUUUGACAAAAAUAGUCAUAUUAAGUGGAGUACAGUACAACCAAAUAAUUACAUAACAUAUGAGAAAAUUACACAAUACAUAUGCUUAUCUUCUGGCAAUGUAAUCUGCCCACAUUUGCAUUGCCAUUGCAUCUCGCAUCUCAUUUCCAGCUUGUCUCAAGUUGUUAAAU